UUUUUUCUUUUUUCUUUUUUCUUUUUUUUUAGGGCUGCACCACCAGCAUAUGGAAGUUCCCAGGUUAGGUGUCGAAUCAGAGCUGCAGCUGACAGCCUAUACCACAGCCACAGCAACUCAGGAUCCCAGCCACAUCUGCCACAUACACCACAGCUCACUGCAACACUGGAUCCUUAACCCACUGAGGGAGGCCAGGGAUUGAACCUGCAUCCUCACGGAUACUAGUCAGGUUCAUUACAACUGAGCCACAGUGGUAACUCCUCUAGUUUAGUUUCACUUUUUAUUUCUAAAUUUUUAUUGUCCUUAUGUUUUGUUUUGUUUUUCUAGCUUUGUUGGGCUCCCUGGGCUUCCUGGCUCUCAGUUUUUGUCACAGCCAGUAGUGACACUGACACAGACCCACCUUUCCCUCCUGAGCCAGGCAGCUGGAUUAUCUCAGUAAGUCAUUCACAAUGCCCCCGGGGGGGUGGACCGGGGAGGCUCUGCAUCAGGGUGUAUUCUGCACAAUGACUGUGACCCCACAAGCAGCCUCAGAUUUUCUCAGGUGCUAUGUAUGGUUCUUCCAACUUCUCCCUGGAGCCCUUUGGUUAAAGCAGGUGGGGGUAAGAGGUCAGAACACAAUUCCCAUCCAGCAGGUUUGACGGGUACAGAGCGUGUAGCAAGACUAAAAGCCCCAAUUCCACUCCUUAAUUAAAAACAUUUUUCAUUCCAAACCUAUAAAAGGCAGCUGUGCCUCUCUCCCCCCUCCCCCCACCAGACAUUGCUGCUCCUCGGUAUUGAGGGCUGCAGCUCAAAUCCUUCUUUCUCGGAGCUUGAAAGCAUGAGGCCAUCAAAGCCUGGUGCAGUCAUCUUCCUCCUCCACCUCCUCCUCACCCCUCUGGUUCCUCUUUUGCUGAGAAGCCAUCAUUUCCAUCUUGACAGUGACCUUGUAUUAGAAGCUUCUAGAGACACUUCUACACUGUGGACAGGUAUCCCCUCCCCCAUGACAGACAAGAAGCAGCUCUUAUAUUUUAUCGUUCUAAAAUCUCCUUUUCACCUGGACUUUUAAAAAGAAGUUCAGGCGGCACUUCCUCGGCUUCCUCAGCCGUCCUGAGGCUGUGAAUUCUUUGGGGUCUUCUUAGCUCAGACAUUUAGAAGCCUUUGGAAAAAGAGUGAGUGAACCACUUGCCAAGAGGUGAUCAGAAAAAAAAAAAAAAUGAAAUAAACACUUGCUUGUGAUGGUUUUCAACCUUCAAUGACUCCUUCACACUUGAAUCCCCCUGAAUUAAGUCACUCGGUUUGAUUACCUGGUACAGAGGGUUAUAAGUCCAAUUCAGGGUGUGUUCUCAAUGUUACCCAUAAAUCAGCUAUCAAUAACCUGUUUGGGUGAAGAGAGGGGAAGAUAUCUAUUUAUAUAUACAUUCAUAUAUUCUUUUUUUUUGUCUUUGUCUUUUUAGGGCUGCACCUGCGGCAUAUGGAGGUUCCCAGGCUGGGGGUCUAAUCAGAGCUGUAGCUGCAACCUACACCACAGCUUAGGGCAACAACACCGGAUCCUUAACCCACCAAUCGAGGUCAGGGAUCGAACAUGCAACCUCAUGGUUCCUAGUCAGAUUCGUUUCUGCUGCNNNNNNNNNNNNNNNNNNNNNNNNNNNNNNNNNNNNNNNNNNNNNNNNNNNNNNNNNNNNNNNNNNNNNNNNNNNNNNNNNNNNNUUUUUUUUUUUUUUUUUUUUUUUUUUUUUUGUCUGCAGUAUUUUUCUCUGCUUUAUCCUCAAGGAUUCUCUACAAUAUUCAUAAGCAGGAAUAUCCAGUCUUCAUUCAGAUCUAUUUCCUUACUGGUCC
rnacentral:lncRNA from 1 species